rnacentral:rRNA from 1 species
ACGUCAGCGGCAGACGGGUGAGUAACGCGUGGGAACAUACCUCUUGGUUCGGAACAACACAGGGAAACUUGUGCUAAUACCGGAUAAGCCCUUACGGGGAAAGAUUUAUCGCCGAGAGAUUGGCCCGCGUCUGAUUAGCUAGUUGGUAGGGUAAUGGCCUACCAAGGCGACGAUCAGUAGCUGGUCUGAGAGGAUGAUCAGCCACAUUGGGACUGAGACACGGCCCAAACUCCUACGGGAGGCAGCAGUGGGGAAUAUUGGACAAUGGGGGCAACCCUGAUCCAGCCAUGCCGCGUGAGUGAUGAAGGCCCUAGGGUUGUAAAGCUCUUUUGUGCGGGAAGAUAAUGACGGUACCGCAAGAAUAAGCCCCGGCUAACUUCGUGCCAGCAGCCGCGGUAAUACGAAGGGGGCUAGCGUUGCUCGGAAUCACUGGGCGUAAAGGGUGCGUAGGCGGGUUUUUAAGUCAGGGGUGAAAUCCUGGAGCUCAACUCCAGAACUGCCUUUGAUACUGAAGAUCUUGAGUCCGGGAGAGGUGAGUGGAACUGCGAGUGUANAGGUGAAAUUCGUAGAUAUUCGCAAGAACACCAGUGGCGAAGGCGGCUCACUGGCCCGGUACUGACGCUGAGGCACGAAAGCGUGGGGAGCAAACAGGAUUAGAUACCC